GAUGAAGAACGUAGCGAAAUGCGAUAAGUAGUGUGAAUUGCAGAAUUCAGUGAAUCAUCGAAUCUUUGAACGCACAUUGCGCCCUUUGGUAUUCCAAAGGGCAUGCCUGUUCGAGCGUCAUUUGUACCCUCAAGCUUUGCUUGGUGUUGGGCGUCUUGUCUCUAGCUUUGCUGGAGACUCGCCUUAAAGUAAUUGGCAGCCAGCCUACUGGUUUCGGAGCGCAGCACAAGUCGCACUCUCUAUCAGCAAAGGUCUAGCAUCCAUUAAGCCUUUUUUUCAACUUUUGACCUCGGAUCAGGUAGGGAUACCCGCUGAACUUAAGCAUAUCAAUAAGCGGAGGA
rnacentral:misc_RNA from 1 species